UACAGGGGGUGCAAACGUUGCUCGGAAUCAUUGGGCGUAAAGAGCGCGUAGGCGGCUAGAUAAGUCCGGUGUGAAAGUCACAGGCUCAACCUGUGAAUGCCGCUGGAAACUGUCUGGCUAGAGUCCGGAAGGGGCGAGUGGAAUUCCUGGUGUAGCGGUGAAAUGCGUAGAGAUCAGGAAGAACAUCGGUGGCGAAGGCGCUCUGCUGGACCAUAACUGACACUCAGGGACGGAAGCUAGGGGAGCGAAUGGG
rnacentral:rRNA from 1 species